CGGAUUGUAGUCUGCAACCCGACUACAUGAAGCUGGAAUCGCUAGUAAUCGCAGGUCAGCAUACUGCGGUGAAUACGCUCCCGGGUCUUGUACACACCGCCCGUCACACCAUGGGAGCCGGAAAUGCCCGAAGCCAGUGACCCAACCUUAGGGAGGGAGCUGUCGAAGGUGGAGCCGGUAACUGGGGUGAAGUCGUAACAAGGUAUC
rnacentral:rRNA from 1 species